GCCAGGAUAGCUCAGUUGUGAGAGCAUCAGACUUUCAAUCUGGGGGUCCAGGGUUCACAUCCCUGUUCAGGUGACA